rnacentral:rRNA from 1 species
GGAUGAGUUGUGGGUAGGGGUGAAAGGCCAAUCAAACUCCGUGAUAGCUGGUUCUCCCCGAAAUGCAUUUAGGUGCAGCGUCGCGUGUUUCACUCUGGAGGUAGAGCUACUGGAUGGCCGAUGGGCCCUACAAGGUUACUGACGUCAGCCAAACUCCGAAUGCCAGGGUGUGAGAGCGCGGCAGUGAGACUGCGGGGGAUAAGCUUCGUAGUCGAGAGGGAAACAGCCCAGAUCGCCGGCUAAGGCCCCUAAGCGUGUACUAAGUGGAAAAGGAUGUGGGAUCGCUGAGACAACCAGGAGGUUGGCUUAGAAGCAGCCACCCUUGAAAGAGUGCGUAAUAGCUCACUGGUCAAGUGGUCCUGCGCCGACAAUGUAGCGGGGCUCAAGUACACCGCCGAAGCCGCGGCAUUCGCAUAACACACGCAUUGUCCUGCGGGAUGGUGUGCAGUGGUGUGGAUGGGUAGGGGAGCGUCGUGUGGCCGUGGAAGCAGCAGUGUGAACUAGUUGUGGAGGCCAUGCGAGUGAGAAUGCAGGCAUGAGUAGCGAAAGACGAGUGAGAAACUCGUCCGCCGAAUGACCAAGGGUUCCUGGGCCAGGUUAAUCCGCCCAGGGUGAGUCGGGACCUAAGGCGAGGCCGACAGGCGUAGUCGAUGGACAACGGGUUGAUAUUCCCGUACCCGUGUGAACGCGCCCCUGAUGAAUCACUGGUACUAACCAUCCUGAAGAUUCCUUUUUCCCUUCGGGGGAUUGGGGGUUGGAUGCAUGGGACCUUCGGUGGUAGUAGUCAAGCGAUGGGGUGACGCAGGAAGGUAGCUGGGCCGGCUGGUGGAAUAGCCGGUGUAAGCCUGUAGGGCGAGUGGUAGGCAAAUCCGCCACUCAUAUGGCCUGAGAGGUGAUGCGUAGCCGUUGUGGUGAAUUCAGUGAUCCUAUGCUGCCGAGAAAAGCCUCUAGCGAGCUUUCACAUGGCCCGUACCCCAAACCGACACAGGUGGUCAGGUAGAGAAUACUGAGGCGAUCGAGAUAACUGUGGUUAAGGAACUCGGCAAAAUGCCCCCGUAACUUCGGGAGAAGGGGGACCUUGUCUGGUGAUGAGUCUUGCACUCUGAGCUGGGUGGGGUCGCAGAGACCAGAGAGAAGCGACUGUUUACUAAAAACACAGGUCCGUGCGAAGUCGUAAGACGAUGUAUACGGACUGACGCCUGCCCGGUGCUGGAAGGUUAAGAGGACCGGUUAGCUGCAUUUUGUGUGGCGAAGCUGAGAAUUUAAGCCCCAGUAAACGGCGGUGGUAACUAUAACCAUCCUAAGGUAGCGAAAUUCCUUGUCGGGUAAGUUCCGACCUGCACGAAUGGCGUAACGACUUCUCUGCUGUCUCGACCACAGACUCGGCGAAAUUGCAUUACGAGUAAAGAUGCUCGUUACGCGCGGCAGGACGAAAAGACCCCGGGACCUUCACUAUAGCUUGGUAUUGGUGUUCGGUUCGGUUUGUGUAGGAUAGGUGGGAGACUGUGAAGCGGGCACGCCAGUGUUUGUGGAGUCGUUGUUGAAAUACCACUCUGAUCGUAUUGGAUGUCUAACCUCGGGCCCUGAUCGGGUUCAGGGACAGUGCCUGGUGGGUAGUUUAACUGGGGCGGUUGCCUCCUAAAAUGUAACGGAGGCGCCCAAAGGUUCCCUCAGCCUGGUUGGCAAUCAGGUGUUGAGUGUAAGUGCACAAGGGAGCUUGACUGUGAGACUGACAGGUCGAGCAGGGACGAAAGUCGGGACUAGUGAUCCGGCACCGGCAUGUGGAAGCGGUGUCGCUCAACGGAUAAAAGGUACCCCGGGGAUAACAGGCUGAUCUUCCCCAAGAGUCCAUAUCGACGGGAUGGUUUGGCACCUCGAUGUCGGCUCAUCACAUCCUGGGGCUGAAGUAGGU